AGAUUGAACGCUGGCGGCGUGCCUAACACAUGCAAGUCGAGCGGUAACAGGUGUAGCAAUACAUGCUGACGAGCGGCGAACGGGUGAGUAAUACUUUGGAAUCUUCCCAGUAGUGGGGAAUAACCAGUCGAAAGAUUGGCUAAUACCGCAUACGUCUGUAAAGGGAAAGCGGGGGCUCGUAAGACCUCGCGCUAUUGGAUGAGCCAAAGUCGGAUUAGCUAGUUGGUGGGGUAAUGGCCUACCAAGGCGACAAUCCGUAGCUGGUCUGAGAGGACGACCAGCCACACCGGAACUGAGACACGGUCCGGACUCCUACGGGAGGCAGCAGUGGGGAAUAUUGGACAAUGGGGGAAACCCUGAUCCAGCGACGCCGCGUGUGUGAAGAAGGCCUGCGGGUUGUAAGCACUUUUAGUGGGGACAAAAGCUACGGACUAAUAUUCUGUGGUCUUGAUUUAACCCAAAGAAAAGCACCGGCUAACUCUGUGCCAGCAGCCGC
rnacentral:rRNA from 1 species